rnacentral:misc_RNA from 1 species
GAAAAAAAAAAAAAAAGGCUUCCUAUCAAUGGGCUUCUCUUAACCUGUUAAUUUUAACUCCAAAAAUAAUCUCAACAUAUUUAGGUAAUGGAUCCAAAUUUUUCUAGGCUCAUUGGGGAAAACUUGAUUAAUAUGGUAUAUAGUUUGGUGGAUUAACUUUGCAAGUAGGUAGUUACGUAAGAGUAUAAUCAAGGAGGUCUGUCCCAAGGGACUACUAGAAUGGGAACAGGAGCAAUUUAUGAGACACGGGAGGUUGGCCUUAUUGGGCACCUUGGCCUUUGGAUAAAUAAAUAAAAAUGAGAAUAAGAAUAAGAAGAAAUGAUGAGCUGCAAUGGAACCUCAUGAUCCCAUGUCAAAAGAAGAUAAUUAUCUUAUAA